rnacentral:rRNA from 1 species
GAAUUUUGGGCAAUGGCCGAAAGGCUGACCCAGCGACGCCGCGUGCGGGAGGACGCCCUUCGGGGUGUAAACCGCUGUCAGAGGGGACGAAUGGCUCCGUUCCGAACAGGGCGGAGAGUGACGGUACCCUCAGCGGAAGCGCCGGCUAACCCUGUGCCAGCAGCCGCGGUAAGACAGAGGGCGCGAGCGUUGUUCGGAAUCACUGGGCGUAAAGCGCGCGCAGGCGGACCUGUGCGUCCGGAGUGAAAUCUCGCCGCUCAACGGCGAGGCUGCUUUGGAAACGGCAGGUCUGGGGACCGGUAGAGGCCGGUGGAAUUGCUGGUGUAGCGGUGGAAUGCGUAGAGAUCAGCAAGAACACCCGUGGCGAAGGCGGCCGGCUGGGCCGGAUCCGACGCUGAGGCGCGAAAGCGUGGGGAGCAAACAGG